UACGUAGGGUCCAAGCGUUGUCCGGAUUUAUUGGGCGUAAAGAGCUCGUAGGCGGUUCCGUAAGUCGGAUGUGAAAACUCGGGGCUCAACCCCGAGACGCCAUCCGAUACUGCGGUGACUUGAGUCUGGUAGGGGAACACGGAAUUCCUGGUGUAGCGGUGAAAUGCGCAGAUAUCAGGAGGAACACCGGUGGCGAAGGCGGUUCUCUGGGAAUGUCCUGACGCUGAGGAGCGAAAGUGUGGGGAGCGAACAGG
rnacentral:rRNA from 1 species